rnacentral:ncRNA from 1 species
GAAGGAUGGUGGCCCUUCGGAGUCGUCCUGCGGGGGAAGGCUUCAAACCGCCCACUGCCGCAUUGGCUGAAGACCGUUGUGGUAAGCGAUGUGGGAAAAGGUGUCGUAAGAGGCAUCAGGU